CGUGUAGGCGGUUUUGCAAGUCAGAUGUGAAAUUCCCAGGCUUAACCUGGGCGCUGCAUCUGAAACUGCAAGACUUGAGUACUGGAGAGGAUAGUGGAAUUCCUAGUGUAGCGGUAAAAUGCGCAGAUAUUAGGAGGAACACCGGUGGCGAAGGCGACUAUCUGGACAGUAACUGACGCUGAGGCGCGGAAGCGUGGGGAGCAAACAG
rnacentral:rRNA from 1 species